rnacentral:lncRNA from 1 species
AGGCCUCAUUUACACAACAAAAAUAUUUGAGGAUAUUCUGGUGGAUGCAAAGUAGAUGAAGUAAUAUUUAAAAAUAUUAUGUUUUCGCACACUUUUUAUAAAAUGUCAGACAAAAGAAGAGUCAUGGUGUAAAAAAAUUAUCUGAAGUCACUGAAGAGCAUCACAGUUUUCUCUGGCUUCAGUGUAUUGUAAUAUAUUACAUAUAUCGAUGUCCCUUCUGAUAAUCAGCAUAAGCAUCAUCGCUACCAUUGUUUUAUUCGUUAUUGCUGUUAUAACAAAUUAGCACAAAUUGAGUGCAUUAAACCAGUAAACACAUCUUCUGUAUAACAGAAGUGUAAAAUGGGUCUCAAGUUAAAAUCAUUCCUGGAAACUUUAGAGAAUUCAUUUCCUUGCCUUUUUCAGCUUCUAGAGCUCACCAGUAUUCCUUGGCUCCCGGCCCUUCCCUCCAUCUUCUAAGCCAGCAAAGUCGAAUUCCCCGAUUAUUUCUUCCUUAGUCAUCUCUCACUCUCUGACCAUGAUUGUGAAAGGUUCUCUGCUUUUAAAGACUCAUGUUAGAUUGGGCACACCUGGAUAAUCCAGGCAAGUCUUCCUGUCUCCAGGUUCUUAAACAUAAUCACACCUACAAAAUUUCUUUUGCCAUGUAAAGAACAUACUCACAGAUUCCGGGGAUUCAAACAUAAAUAUAUCUGGGGUGGAGGGAGUGCUGAAUGUUUACGUCCACCAUAAUUAUCUAAGGAUUUUUCUUUUCUUUUCUUUUCUGCUAAGACAUUAGCGGCUUCUCACUACAUAGAUACAUGAAUAAAUUCUCCACUUACUUGGAAGAAGUCCCCCAACUAAACAACUUAGUUAUUAAGUAGAAAGUAUUCCAUUCAUAAAUAUUUUUAUAAAUUAUUUUUUAAAAAAUCAUAUUCUACAUACAACAAUCCCUUUUGGUUAGGAUGGGAUUACACGUGGUCUUUUAUUUACUUUUGGUUCAGAUAGAGAAAAAAAAAAAAAUAUAUAUAUAUAUUUAACAGGGAUACAGAAAACUGCUGCAGCUAACAACCAUGGAAGGAGGCAGAGAAUUCCUACCCCUGGGCUUGAAAGAACAAGGGUGAGAUGAGGUCCUGGGUUCUUGUCCUGCGUCUAAGAAGAAUGAGGUUACACUGACAGCUGAAGGGUGAGCAAGGCGAAGAGUUUUAUUGAGUGACAGUUCUCAGCAGAGAGGGGACUUAAAGA